UCGCCUGUUUAUCAAAAACAUGGUCUUUUGUUUAAAUAAAAGAUCUGGCCUGCCCAAUGAUUAUUUUAAUGGCUGCAGUAUUUUGACUGUACAAAGGUAGCAUAAUCAUUUGUCUCUUAAUUGGAGUCUGGAAUGAAUGGUUGGAUGAAGAGUUAACUUUCUUUAUUUUAUAUAUAGAACUUAAUUUUUAAGUCAAAAAGUUUAAAUAUAAAUAUAGGACGAGAAGACCCUAUAGAACUUUACUUUCUUAAUAUUAGAAACUUUAUUGAAAAUAAUUUUUUUUUAUUUUUAAGAAAGUUUUGUUGGGGUGACAAAAAAAAAUAAAUAACUUUUUUUACUUUUUCCAUUUAUAUAUGUUUUUUUGAUCCUAUAAUAUGGAUAAAAAGAUUAAGUUACCUUAGGGAUAACAGCGUUAUUACUUUAGAGAGUUCAUAUUGAUAAAGUAGUUUGCGACCUCGAUGUUGGAUUAAAAUUAGUUUCAGGAGUAGAAGAUUGAUUAUCUAGGUCUGUUCGACCUUUAAAUUUUUACAUGAUCUGAGUUCAAACCGGAGA
rnacentral:rRNA from 1 species